GCAGGAUAUUAACUUCAACCGUAGCAUCAAAGAUGCACUUGCUAAUGAAGAGAAAUUCUUCCAUAACCAGCCAGUUGGCACUAUUAAUGACCUUUUCUCUGCACUCCAUCACUUGUGCUUGUUGGUGUAAGUCCAAGGUUUCUUCUUAUCAAUGAAAGGUCUUGUCAAUUAUAAGUGACAAUUCCUUCAAAUGGUGGCAGCUCUUCUUUUUGGCAAUUCUGGUGCAGCAUAUAAAGGCAGUACACCCAGGACUGAAGGCUCACAUAAAAUACUCAAUUGGUCGCUGCAGCAAAGGAGCAUGCUGCAUAUGGUGAUAUUGCAGAGUCAAAGGUACACCUAUUUAUGUUAGCUAUGU